AUGUGGGAUUCUUCUUCCGCCUUCUCUCCCAGGAGCAGUGAACAUGCCUGGGUCUUGGAAAUAGGCGUGGGAUCAAAUUUCCUCCUUUGCAGACUCCGGCAAGUGAUUUCAAGACUCUCUGGCCCCCGCUGCUUGCUGCUUUCCUGCCGGGGCCGCAGGGACACCAUGCUCAUCGCCCCUCCCAGCUCUGCUGGAUCUUCAGCUUGGUUCCCACACUGCUCUCCAACACCUGCCGUUGCUUUACUGGACGGGUUCCCGCUCACCUUUCAGGUUUCGUCUUGGCUUUCAUUUUCUGAGACUCACAACGCCUGUCUAAUCAUGAGGAAAACAGCAGACAAACCCAGAAUGAGAGGCAUUCUGCAAAAUUCAUGAUCAGUACUCCUCAAUGUCAAGGUCAGCAAAAACAAGGCAAGUCUGAGAAACUGUAGCAGAGCAGAGAAGACAAAGGAGAGGUGAUGGUUAAAUAUAACAUGGUGUCCUGGGAGAGAAGAAGAACACUAAGGAAAAACGAAAGAAAUCUGAAUAAAAAAUACAGAGUUUAACAAAUAACGAUACACUAGUAUUGAUUGAUGAGUGUGACACACAUGUCCUAUUAAGGUGAGAUGUCAGUAACAGAGGAAACAGGGUGUGGGGUAUAUGGGAACUCUCUGUACUGUCUUCACAACUGUUCUAGAAGUCAAAAGCUACUCCAAAAGAAAAAAGCCCUUCUUGUUCAAUGAUAUGUACAUAUUCAAGGACACUUAUUACAAAUAUUCGCUUUUGGGAAAGGAGAAUAAUAGUGAUUAUAAGAAGAAAGUGCAAAACAACAAAUGAAUGAAUCAGUCAAUCAAUAGAAAUAAGAGGAGGGCAUUGCACAGACCAGCAACGGCACUGUGCAUGAUUGAAGUGAAUGCUCAUCGGCUCACAUUUUGUACCAAAAUAUGGCACUUCUAUGGGGCUGGGGGUAAGCUUAGACAUUUUCACACUUCCCCUUCAACACUCCAGUAGUGAUAAUUUCUGCUGUUUUAAGCUGAGAUACACAUUAAUAAAAAGCAGUGUCAGCUUUGGGUUCUCUUGUGCCACCGAAGCCACAGUGCAGGGUGGACUAAGCUUCACUGCUUCAGCUUCACUUCACUUCACAUUUUUUUGGACGGCUAUAAUUAGAUUUCCUACUUCUCACAUUGCUGAUAACUGCAGCCACUCAGGGCAGGUGUAGGCAUGGGUGGAGUGAUGGGAGAAGAGAAGAGCGGUGAUUCCUGAAGGAUAUUUGUGUAAGACACUGUCCAGGUUGAACCCAGUAUAAAGUAAUAAUAAGUAGGUGGGCAUUUAAAAUUCAGUACUAGCAAAAGAAACUAGCAUCAACGUGAACAGACAACCUAAAGAAGAGAGAAAAGUUUUCAAUCUACCCAUCUGUCAAAGGGCUAAUAUCCUGAAUCUACGAGGAGCUUAAACAAAUUUACAAGAAAAAGAAAAAAAAACCCCAUCAAAAAGGGAGCAAAGGAUAUAAACAGACACUUCUUAAAAGAGGACAUUUAUGCAGCCAACAAACAUAUGAAAAAAAGCUCAACAUCACUGAUCAUUAGAGAAAUGCAAAUUAAAACCAUGAGGAGAAAGCAUCUCACGCCAAUCAGAAUGGCAAUUAUUAAAAAGUCCAGAAACAACAGAUGCUGGUAAGGCUGUGGAGAAAUAGAAAUGCUUUUACACUUUUGGUGGGAAAGUAAAUUAGUUCAACCAUUGUAGAAGACAGUGUGGCAAUUCCUCAAGGAUCUAGAACCAGAAAUACCAUUUGACCCAGCGAUCCUAUUAUCGAGUAUAUACCUGAAGGAAUAUAAAUCAUUCUACUGUGAAAACACAUGCACACAUUUGAUUAUUGCAGCACUGUUUACAAUAGCAAAGACAUGGAACCAACCCAAAUGCCCAUCAGUGAUAGACUGGAUAAAGAAAAUGUGGUGCAUAUACACCGUGGAAUACUAUGCAGCCAUAAAAAAGAAUGAGAUCAUGUCCUUUGCAGGGACAUGGUUGAAGCUGAAGAGGAAAUGACUUUCUCUGCAAACUAACACAGGAACAAAAAACCAAACACUGAUGUUCCCACUCAUAAGUGAGAGUUGAGCAAUGAGAACAGAUGGACCCAGGGAGGGGAACAGCACACACCAGGGCCUAUUGUGGGAUGAGAGGCAAGGGGAGGGAGAGCAUUAGGACAAAUACCUGAUGUGUGUGGGUCUUAAAACCUAGAUGGUGGGUUUAUAGUGCAGCAAACCAGCAUGGCCCAUGUAAACCUAUGUAACAAACCUGCAUGUUCUGUACGUGUAUCCCAAAACUUCAAGAAAAAAAA
rnacentral:lncRNA from 1 species